GACGAACGCUGGCGGCGUGCCUAAUACAUGCAAGUAGAACGCUGAAGCUUGGUGCUUGCACCGAGCGGAUGAGUUGCGAACGGGUGAGUAACGCGUAGGUAACCUGCCUGGUAGCGGGGGAUAACUAUUGGAAACGAUAGCUAAUACCGCAUAACAGUAGAUAUCGCAUGAUAGCUACGUGAAAGGUGCAAAUGCACCACUACCAGACGGACCUGCGUUGUAUUGGCUAGUUGGUGAGGUAACGGCUCACCAAGGCAACGUUAGAUAGCCGACCUGAGAGGGUGGUCGGCCACACUGGGACUGAGACACGGCCCAGACGCCUCCGGGAGGCAGCAGUAGGGAAUCGUCGGCAAUGGGCGGAAGUCUGACCGAGCUACGCCGCGUGAGUGAAGAAGGUUUUCGGGUCGUAAAGCUCGGUUGUAAGGGAAGAACGAGUGUGAGAGUGGAAAGUUCACACUGUGACGGUAACUUACCAGAAAGGAACGGCUAACUACGUG
rnacentral:rRNA from 1 species